rnacentral:rRNA from 1 species
CGCUGGCGGCAGGCCUAACACAUGCAAGUCGAACGAAGCCUUCGGGCUUAGUGGCGCACGGGUGAGUAACGCGUGGGAAUAUGCCUUUCGGUGGGGAAUAACGUCGGGAAACUGACGCUAAUGCCGCAUACGCCCUUCGGGGGAAAGAUUUAUCGCCGAAAGAUUAGCCCGCGUCCGAUUAGCUAGUUGGUGAGGUAAUGGCUCACCAAGGCUACGAUCGGUAGCUGGUCUGAGAGGAUGAUCAGCCACACUGGGACUGAGACACGGCCCAGACUCCUACGGGAGGCAGCAGUGGGGAAUAUUGGACAAUGGGCGCAAGCCUGAUCCAGCCAUGCCGCGUGAGUGAUGAAGGCCCUAGGGUUGUAAAGCUCUUUCGGCGGGGACGAUGAUGACGGUACCCGCAGAAGAAGCCCC